UAUUGCCCUCCUAUGAAUAGUGACCCCAAGCACAAACUCCCUGAGCUCUCCAGGGACCACAUCAGGCUGAACCCCCCCAUUUCCCCCAGCUUUUCAGGGCUGGCUCCUCGAGGAACAAGCUUGACCACAGACAAACGCUGAUGAGACAGAAGGGGAUGUCACUGGGAUGUGCUGGCAGGCGGCUGUCACGCUGAGGAGCUCCGUCCCCCGCGAGCCCCCGGGAUGCCUGGCACUGCUCCUCGUGUUCCCAUGUGUCAGAGCAUUGGGAUUUGAUGUGGCACCCUAAUAGCCCAGCAGGAUUUGUUAAAGUGCCAGAAGUUGGUGUGAUUUACUAGCAGAGCCAACAAAAUUGCUACGCGUGAGCUCUGCAGAGACUGAAAGGGAGAGAGAAGCCUUGGAAAGGUUAUCCACCAAAGUGGUCUGCGACAUCAAAAAAUUGAAAAUUAGUGUGUAGCUGCAGCUAAUGGACCUUAAUACAUCUUGAAUUGUCCUACUGGGAGCAGGAAACACUUCCAGAGGAUGGAUGAGGUCUUUAGGAUUCCUUGCUACAGAACUUCAAUCCAAAGCCAAGAAAUGAAUGUUAAGUUUGCAAAUGUGAGCUACAGAGAACAACAACCAGCCAGGAGCUUGCACCAAGCCAACCAAUGAUGCCAGGAACAACCAUGAGCAGCUCCUGAGCUUGCUGAAAUCCUGGGGGCAGAGCAGGGAAGUUUCAGCUGCUGCUGCAAUCAGAGGUUAUUAAUGCUGGGUGCCAGAGGUAAAAGUGGUCAUGCUGGUAGGCUCAAGAUAGAAAAACACAGAAGAGAACUCUUCUUUACUCUUUUUAUAGUCUUUUUUUCUACUGCAAUGGAAAAAAACUCAACAGCACAAAUUGAUAUUCUGAUUAAACUGGAGGACACCUGCCUCUGGUAAUGAUGGAAUUAAGCAAAUUAUCCUUUUAUUGCACCAUUCUCAAGUCUUUAUAUAAUUCUCCUCACGUCUUUCUUGUCAUUGCAGCAUCUAAAAACCUUUCCUUCAAACAGCGUCACUGAUUUCUCUUGGAGGUUUAUUCCUUUCCUUCUUUAUUGAGGGAAAUGAAUAAGUAGUGAGUGGUUUGGUUUUAUUUGCUCUUCAGUUUUUAAAUAAGGCCUAAUAAUUGAGUAUUUUUAAGGGAAAGAUAGUUACAAGACUGUAUAAAUUGUACACAGAGUGAAGAAGUCUGGUCAUUGUGAUGGAGGUUGGGUGAAGUUCUUUACAUUUAUCGUCUCCAGAUAAGGAGAACUUGGAAGGAUUGCUAUUGCUGAGCACCAGGCAUAGUUUUUUUUUCUGGUUAACAACCUCUUACAGACCAUAGAUUGCUUCUGUGUGCCUGUAAACUUGCCUGAAAUCUGGUAUAGGCUGUCUUUAUUCCUGUGUCGUCGUACAGGUCUUCCCAGCUCCAGCUGAAAUAGCUGUCAUGUCAUUAGAUGGUGCCAGUCUCUUCACCAGCCUGGUUUGCUUGUCCACGUUUGUGUUCUGGCUGAGCUGCUUGCAGAGCUCCUUGAUGAAUAGCAGGCUUUCAGCACGUAGAAAUAGCCAGCCAUUAUGCUCCCUUUAAAUGGCUUUCAGAGAAAUAUAAAGGGAGGAGAUAAAUGAUUUAACAAUAAAAUAUUUGCUCAUUUUUAAAGUUACCCGAGGUUCCAGGGAACUUCAGUGUUGUGGAAAGCAUGCCCAAGGAAAGCUCGCUUCACAGAAACCAUUGCUUCUUGGAAGCUAAGCAAUGUUAGCAACGCAGCAGCGUGUUUUCCUGUCUAAAUAAUACAAUAUUGUGAUUUUGCUACAUAUAAAUGUCUUUUUGGGUAUACUUUGGGUAUCUUUUUGGGAGGGGCAAUAUGUUCGUGCUGAAUUUUUUUUUUCCUACUGCUUUUUACAUAUCACACGUAAGAAUUCCUGCUUCAGGUGAUGUGCACACCUGGGACUGAGUUUGAAAUGCAUCGGAAGCAAAUAAUGGGAAACACAGGAAAUAAUCGCUUUCUUUUGAUACCUCCUCUUCUUCAUGCCGCCAUCUCCCCCCCAAAACAGCAGGAAAGGCUUGGUGAGAAUAACAUAGACUGUGCCGAUGGAGCCUGGAGGAGCAGCAGAGAAUGCAGAGAGGAGACUUCUGAGUGCUUUUGCUGUUUUCUGUAGGGAUGCCCUCAGAAAUGGCCUUUAUUUUCUCUAAAUGGCGGGAUGAUUUUCCUGCCUGUGAAGAUUGAGGACCAGAAGUGCUGUGUGCUGAAGUCUCGUACUUAUCCGCGGGCCAGACAUCAUAGCAGUCUGUCGCAUCGCUCUGCUGAGCCUGGACUCGGAGGUAAUUCACUGAAUAUUAUGGCCAAGUCCUGGGGUCUGCUGAGCAGAGGUUAAGUUUGCUACGUGGUGAUAAACUGUGCGCUGCAGCUGCCUAGCAGACUAACUGCUCUGUCUGCUGGAGCUGGGGGAAGCCAAGCUUGGUCUGCUUGGUACUCAUCAACGUACUUAAAGUGUAUUCUCCAAACCAUUUUUUGUCACAAAACCCUUCUAAAGCACUCUGUUAAGCUGACUUUGCUCCCUGCUGUAAGAACCGUGCACCCCAGCCAGCGAGGUGCCUCUAAGCCCCUGCGGUCCUCUCCCAGACCUCCUGCCUGGGGAUCGAGCAGUGGGACAAGAGGAGCACCCAAAAAUGCAACAGAGAGGGUACAACUGUACAUCCUGAGUCUCUGGUAGCAUCAUUAGCCAGGGAGAGUCUCCUGCUGGGAUAAAUGGCUCUGUCAUACGAGUUAUUUCAUGUAACACAUACGUACAUAUAUAUUUGACAUCAACUGCAACGGCGGAGGUGUGGGCAGAGCAGUGCUGUGCUGUUGCAGAAGGAGUUGGGCUUUUCAGACAACCUUGUCUCCUGAAAAAGUGUGGAAAAACAUUUCUGGAGCAAACUGCUUUUUGUCUUGAGAACAUUUCACUAUAUCAAGUGCUUCACCACGGCAAGGUUCAGUGACUGUCACAGAUAUUUACAGCCUGCGAACGGGGAAACCAUCACAGAGGUAAGUUGGGAAAAAGCACAGAUACAUAAAUUUAGCUAACACGCAUCUGACCGACUACAGGUGCAGCUGUGGAGCACAUUCCUUGGAAAUAAAAAAAAUAUAUAUAUAAAAAAAAAAGAAAGAAAUACGGGUAGCAUUAAUCUCUCAUGAUGAAUGUGGUGACAUCACCUUUCUAACACAAUUACUUUUUAUUUCUCUUUAAGAGACUUUGGCUUGGCUGCCGAUAGGAAAAAUGAGAUUUUUAUGAAGAAGACUGUGAAGAAUACUGUGAUUAAUCUUGAGGCAAAUCUCAGACUUUUCUGAAGUUUCUAUUAAGCAGGAUGCUAAUUUUAUCAUUUCCACUCUUUUCCACAUUUUCCUUUAGGAUAUAUUCAGAAA